rnacentral:rRNA from 1 species
GACGAACGCUGGCGGCGUGCUUAACACAUGCAAGUCGAACGGUAAGGCUCCAGCUUGCUGGGGUACACGAGUGGCGAACGGGUGAGUAACACGUGGGUGACCUGCCCUGCACUUCGGGAUAAGCCUGGGAAACUGGGUCUAAUACCGGAUAGGACCGCACCGUGAGGGUGUGGUGGAAAGUUUUUUCGGUGUGGGAUGGGCCCGCGGCCUAUCAGCUUGUUGGUGGGGUAAUGGCCUACCAAGGCGGCGACGGGUAGCCGGCCUGAGAGGGUGGACGGCCACAUUGGGACUGAGACACGGCCCAGACUCCUACGGGAGGCAGCAGUGGGGAAUAUUGCACAAUGGGCGGAAGCCUGAUGCAGCGACGCCGCGUGGGGGAUGACGGCCUUCGGGUUGUAAACUCCUUUCACCAUCGACGAAGGGUUUCUGACGGUAGAUGGAGAAGAAGCACCGGCUAACUACGUGCCAGCAGCCGCGGUAAUACGUAGGGUGCGAGCGUUGUCCGGAAUUACUGGGCGUAAAGAGCUCGUAGGUGGUUUGUCGCGUCGUCUGUGAAAUUCCGGGGCUUAACUCCGGGCGUGCAGGCGAUACGGGCAUAACUUGAGUACUGUAGGGGAGACUGGAAUUCCUGGUGUAGCGGUGAAAUGCGCAGAUAUCAGGAGGAACACCGGUGGCGAAGGCGGGUCUCUGGGCAGUAACUGACGCUGAGGAGCGAAAGCAUGGGGAGCGAACAGGAUUAGAUACCCUGGUAGUCCAUGCCGUAAACGGUGGGCGCUAGGUGUGGGUUUCCUUCCACGGGAUCCGUGCCGUAGCUAACGCAUUAAGCGCCCCGCCUGGGGAGUACGGCCGCAAGGCUAAAACUCAAAGGAAUUGACGGGGGCCCGCACAAGCGGCGGAGCAUGUGGAUUAAUUCGAUGCAACGCGAAGAACCUUACCUGGGCUUGACAUAUACAGGAUCGCGCCAGAGAUGGUGUUUCCCUUGUGGCUUGUAUACAGGUGGUGCAUGGUUGUCGUCAGCUCGUGUCGUGAGAUGUUGGGUUAAGUCCCGCAACGAGCGCAACCCUUGUCUUAUGUUGCCAGCACGUUGUGGUGGGGACUCGUAAGAAACUGCCGGGGUUAACUCGGAGGAAGGUGGGGAUGACGUCAAAUCAUCAUGCCCCUUAUGUCCAGGGCUUCACACAUGCUACAACGGUCGGUACAGUGGGUUGCCAGUCCGUGAGGGCGAGCUAAUCCCGCAAAGCCGGUCUCAGUUCGGAUCGGGGUCUGCAACUCGACCCCGUGAAGUCGGAGUCGCUAGUAAUCGCAGAUCAGCAACGCUGCGGUGAAUACGUUCCCGGGCCU